GCCUACGGGGGGCAGCAGUGGGGAAUAUUGCACAAUGGGGGGAACCCUGAUGCAGCGACGCCGCGUGGGUGAAGGAGCACCUCGGUGCGUAAAGCCCUAUCGGCAGGGGAGAAACAGACGGUACCUGACUAAGAAGCCCCGGCUAACUACAUGCCAGCAGCCGCGGGAAUACGUAGGGGGCAAGCGUUAUCCGGAUUUACUGGGGGUAAAGGGAGCGUAGACGGCAUGGCAAGUAAGAUGUGAAAGCCCGGGGCUCAACCCCGGGGCUGCAUUUGAA
rnacentral:rRNA from 1 species